rnacentral:sRNA from 1 species
CAUUAAUGACCUUCUGCUAAGAUCGCCUACGUCCUGUGCGUAACACAGAAGUCAGCAUAUCCUGCGCA